rnacentral:lncRNA from 1 species
UAUUACAUUGCAUGCUUUGUUAUAUUGGCAUGAUUCGUAGAAGUGUACAAAAGCUUAAAUAUCAUGAUCCAAAUCUGCCCAAAAUUAUAUCCUCAAGAUUUGUUCUAGAAUCUUCUCAUGCUUUAAAUGUCUAGAUAUUAGAAUGUCAUGUCUUUCUUAAAGUUUGUGCAUUUGAAGUAUAGCAUUGUCAAGUAUAUAAAUCUUCUUCUUGAAAUAGAACAAACCAUCAUUAAAAUAAUAAUCUUGAUAUUACACAUUAUUACUUUUAGUAAAUUGAUAAUCAUUUUAAAAUAAGCAUCCUGAUACAUAGCU